rnacentral:rRNA from 1 species
UGGGGAAUAUUGGACAAUGGGCGAAAGCCUGAUCCAGCCAUGCCGCGUGUGUGAAGAAGGUCUUCGGAUUGUAAAGCACUCUAAGUUGGGAGGAAGGGCAUUAACCUAAUACGUUAGUGUUUUGACGUUACCGACAGAAUAAGCACCGGCUAACUCUGUGCCAGCAGCCGCGGUAAUACAGAGGGUGCAAGCGUUAAUCGGAAUUACUGGGCGUAAAGCGCGCGUAGGUGGUUUGUUAAGUUGGAUGUGAAAUCCCCGGGCUCAACCUGGGAACUGCAUUCAAAACUGACUGACUAGAGUAUGGUAGAGGGUGGUGGAAUUUCCUGUGUAGCGGUGAAAUGCGUAGAUAUAGGAAGGU